CCGCAGGAGGAGGAAGAGGCGGCGGCCGGCCCGGGGCGGGGCGGGCUGGGGCAGCCGGAGCCGCGGACGCCCUGGCGGUGCGAGGCUGCGGGAGGCACGGCCGGACAUUCCUUAUUGCUGGUUUGAGGUGAACAUUGUUUCACAGCUGCUUCAGGCGAGGAGGAAGGAGCUUGCACGUGAGACAGAGAGCCCUCAGGAUUUAACAGUACCCCUGAAGAGCACAAUCAGCCAAGCUUUGGCAGCAGCCUGGUUCUCAUCACUCACUCCUUCCUGUCCGUUUGUGGUGGCUCAGCAGAGCUCAGCUGCAGAGCCCUGAGUGCACGCCUUGGAUCUGCUUCUCCAGCCUGUGAGCAGAUGGACUUCAUUGAAGAGCUGUGAACACUGAGGCUGAAACUCCCCACUGAGUCUGCCAUCCAGGAACUCACAGGGAAGAAGGGAAGUCAAGUGAAGUUACUACAAUCUGUGGUGUGAAGUAGCAGCAUGGUGUUCAGGAGUAAUGCCUGUGGUACUGAGCAGUCUUAAGGAACUGGUUAAAAGCAGGAAAGGGAGCUGUUAAUUGAUACACGACAGACAGGCUGUGAAGGCAACUGACACACGUGCCUUGAGAACCGGCAAGUGAAGUUGAGGAAGUAAAUCUGUCCAUCCAUCCAUUUUCAGAACUGGAAUAACUGGAAAAAUGAACAGACUAAAAUAGACAAGCUUAAUGAUACAAGAUGAUUAUUAGCAUAGGGAUGUUAAAAUAUGCAUAAUAUGAUCAUACUCUUUGCGGACAAGGAUGUGCUACGCCUCGCCCUGCGUUCAUUAAAGGCGGCAGGAAUGUUGCUGCUGAUUUCAGUGGGUGGGGACGGGCCCGCUGCAUUAAAAAGUUGUUUCGUUACCGGUUACAUUCUACCUUGUCUUCCUUUGAUUGCUUCUUUCAAGCCUCAGAAAGCCAACUUUGAUAGCUACCAGUUUCCACGCAAUUAUUCCUGACCGCUCAGCACCAAGACUCUUGAAACGAGGACGUAUCAGGGAAUUCA